AUGAACGCUAGCGACAGGCCUAACACAUGCAAGUCGAGGGGCAGCGGAGAGGUAGCAAUACCUUUGUCGGCGACCGGCGCACGGGUGAGUAACACGUAUGCAAUCCACCUGUAACAGGGGGAUAACCCGGAGAAAUCCGGACUAAUACCCCAUAAUAUGGGCGCUCCGCAUGGAGAGCCCAUUAAAGAGAGCAAUUUUGGUUACAGACGAGCAUGCGCUCCAUUAGCCAGUUGGCGGGGUAACGGCCCACCAAAGCGACGAUGGAUAGGGGUUCUGAGAGGAAGGUCCCCCACAUUGGAACUGAGACACGGUCCAAACUCCUACGGGAGGCAGCAGUGAGGAAUAUUGGUCAAUGGUCGGCAGACUGAACCAGCCAAGUCGCGUGAGGGAAGACGGCCCUACGGGUUGUAAACCUCUUUUGUCGGAGAGUAAAGUACGCUACGUGUAGCGUAUUGCAAGUAUCCGAAGAAAAAGCAUCGGCUAACUCCGUGCCAGCAGCCGCGGUAAUACGGAGGAUGCAAGCGUUAUCCGGAUUUAUUGGGUUUAAAGGGUGCGUAGGCGGCACGCCAAGUCAGCGGUGAAAUUUCCGGGCUCAACCCGGAGUGUGCCGUUGAAACUGGCGAGCUAGAGUACACAAGAGGCAGGCGGAAUGCGUGGUGUAGCGGUGAAAUGCAUAGAUAUCACGCAGAACCCCGAUUGCGAAGGCAGCCUGCUAGGGUGAAACAGACGCUGAGGCACGAAAGCGUGGGUAUCGAACAGGAUUAGAUACCCUGGUAGUCCACGCAGUAAACGAUGAAUACUAACUGUUUGCGAUACAAUGUAAGCGGUACAGCGAAAGCGUUAAGUAUUCCACCUGGGGAGUACGCCGGCAACGGUGAAACUCAAAGGAAUUGACGGGGGCCCGCACAAGCGGUGGAGCAUGUGGUUUAAUUCGAUGGUACGCGAGGAACCUUACCUGGGCUUGACAUACACAGGGACCGCCUGGAGACAGGCGGGCGCAGCAAUGCGCCUGUGAACAGGUGCUGCAUGGCUGUCGUCAGCUCGUGCCGUGAGGUGUCGGCUUAAGUGCCAUAACGAGCGCAACCCCUAUCGACAGUUACUAACGGGUCAAGCCGAGGACUCUGUCGAGACUGCCGGCGCAAGCCGCGAGGAAGGUGGGGAUGACGUCAAAUCAGCACGGCCCUUACGUCCGGGGCGACACACGUGUUACAAUGGCAGGUACAGAAGGCAGCCAGUCAGCAAUGACGCGCGAAUCCCGAAAACCUGUCUCAGUUCGGAUUGGAGUCUGCAACCCGACUCCAUGAAGCUGGAUUCGCUAGUAAUCGCGCAUCAGCCAUGGCGCGGUGAAUACGUUCCCGGGCCUUGUACACACCGCCCGUCAAGCCAUGGAAGCCGGGAGUACCUGAAGCAUGCAACCGCAAGGAGCGUACGAAGGUAAUACCGGUAACUGGGGCU
rnacentral:rRNA from 1 species